AUUCUCGAUUUGCCUGCUGCCAUCUGUGUAAGAUGGGGCUUGCUCUCCACCAUGAUUCUUAGGCUUCCCCAGCCAGCUGAAACUAGUCUUUUAGAAUCCAUUCACAGGACUUGAAUCCUGGAUCUGAGUUUUCAAAAGAAACGAAGCUAAUGAAAGACAAGGAACUUCUGGUCUUAGUUGAGAUGCAAAAAGAAUUUCAAGGAGAAGUCAAGGAACAAAAAACAAUGGCCAAAAUCAUGCUCUUCCUCACAGAAGACUUUACUUGCUUUCCCCACCAACUGAAUUUGACAUCACCGUUAUGUGCUCCCGUGAUACCUUUUACUCCAUGAAUUUCAUCUACCAUAUAAUAAGCUGGAUGAUAUUCAUUUCCUACCAGGUGAAAGGUAAGUGUAUUAGUUUCCCAAGGUUAUUGUUAAGUAUAAGAAACUUGGUGACUGAACAGAAAUUUAUUCUCUCACAGCUCCCAAGUCUAGAAGUCCUAAAUCAAGCUGAGGGCUGAGCCACGCUUCUUCCAAAGCUUCCAGGAGAGGAUGCUUCUUUGUCUCUUCCAGCUUCUGGAAAUCAUUUCCAUCUGGCUUUCUUCUGUCUGACUUAACGAUUUUCCAUCCUACCUGAACAUUAUAAUCAUCUGGAAGA
rnacentral:lncRNA from 1 species